rnacentral:rRNA from 1 species
AAAGUAUCGAUGACAAUAUUGUUUUAACAUCAUAGUAUUUUAAAGGGGUUAUUAAGGAUAACUAUCAAAUUUAUAAAAAAGGAGGUACUCUACCAAAAGCUUUCUAAAAUAUUUAUAUUUAUAUUUAUAUUUAUAUUUAUAUUUAUAUAUGUAUUUAUAUUUAUAUUUAUAUUUAUAUUUAUAUUUAUAUUUAUAUUUUUUUAAGGAAAGCGAUCCUAAGGUAAACCUUUAGUAUAAUUUACUUCCUGAAGUAAAACAUUUUAUUAAGGAAAGGAAAGGAAAUCAACCGAGACUCCGAAAGUAAUGGCGAGUGAAAUCGGAUUAGCCUAAAUUACUUUAUAAAUUGAACCGUUAAAUUAAACAAAAUAUUAUUUCUAAGUAAUUUGAUUACUGCUUAAAUAUAAAAUAAAUAUUAGUUUAAUUAGCAACAAUCUAAAUUAAACUCAAAUAAAAAAUAGAUUGUUCUAAAAUAGGUUAAAAUCCAAGUCCUGUAGAUUUAUAAAGUAAAGUAAUUAUUAAAACUAAUAUUUAAUAUUAGAUAAAUAAUUUUGUUAUUCUUUAGCAUUGUUGUUUAUCCUCUGUCUAACUUCUCUUUCCUCCAUGUCUCCCUCCUCCUAAAUCCUCCUAGCCUUAGGUUAGGAUUAAAUAAGGAAGUCUCUAACUAAGCGAGCCUUACGGCUUGGGUGAAACUAUAGAAGAAAAAGAAGCAGGUGGUAUUAUUUGUUACAAUAAAAAAAAGUACGAUGAGAGAAAACUUGUCGGAAUAUAGGGGAACCAUCCUCUAAGGCUAAGUAUUAUAAAUUUAGUGAUAGCGAAAAGUACUGUAAAGGAAAUGUUUGAAAUAAAAAUAAUUGUAGUAAACAAUACUUUAAAUUUUAAUUUGAAAUAUAUUUUAUUUAUUUUAAAAUUUAAAUAUGAAAUAAUUGAAUUAGUAACUCUAUAAGCAGUCGAAAUUCUACUUUUAAAAGAUUAAUGAAUGACGGCGUACCUUUUGCAUAAUGGGUCAGCAAGUUAAUAAGAGUAGCAAGGUUUAAAGCCCUAGCGAAAGCGACUGGACUAUUUAUUAAAUAGUGAUGGAUAAGUUACUUUUAUUAGACCCGAAGCCAGGUGAUCUUACCAAGACCAGUUUAUAAUUGAGCGUACGGGUGAAUGUUGCAUUAUUCUCCGAAGAGUUUUGGUAAGCGGCGAAAUACCAAUCUGACCUGGUGCUAUCUGGUUUUCUACCGAAACAUAUUUAAGUAUGACAUCUACAUUUAUAGAUUUAUGGAGGUACAGAAAGGCAACUCCCAACAAGAAAUAGUUUUAUGUUGUGCCCUAUUUCUUAAAAAAUAGACAGCAUCCUUAGUCGAGCAUCGAGCAUCCUUAUCUCCAACCUUUCGUCACUUCACCUUUCGUAUAUAAGUACGUAGUACAGAGUACGGAGCCCUUAAAAGGGAGUGGUGGUUGUUGUAUGUAGAGGGAGGAGGAAAUGGAAGCAAACAUGCGUAGCCGUAGGCAGGCGGGAAAAUUUUUAAUUUAAUUUUAAUCGAUUAAAUAAGUUUUUACAUAAUACUAUUUGGAGUUCAGGUUGCGGGGACGUAGAAAUCUUACCUUUGGAGGCGAAUCUCGGAAUUACAUAAAUUGAUAGUAGAUAUUCAGACUAUUCAUGCUAAGUUGAAUAGUCAAGACGGAAACAGCCGAGAACACAGAUCAAGGUCCCAAAUGAUUGUUAAGUGAAAUUAAGGAUGUAGCAUAAUCGUAUACAGCUGUUAAGUGAGCCUGGCAGUCGCUACUUAUAAUGAUCGUAUGUAACAACGCAUCAGCAGUAAGACUGUAGCACCGAAAAUUUAACGGGUCUUAAACAAUCAACCGAUAUCGUGUUGGUAUUAAAUAAAAUAUUGUACUCUCCCGAUACCUGCCAUACGACAAUGACACCGUGUUAUUCUAUUCUAUUGAUUAGGUUAACUCUAUGUAGUUGAGUAUGGAUUACGGAGUACGGAUUCUUGAGUACAGCACCAUUCUACGGUUAUGUUACCCCUUCGGAGCGUAGACGUAGCCAUGAUGCUUAUUUUUAUUUUAUUUUUUAUCUAGGUAGUAGAACAUUCAGUCAAUCUAUUGAGAAAAUAGUGUUUCAUUAUUUUUUAGGGAACUGAAGAGAGAAUGCUGACAUGAGUAACGUAAAAGAAGUUAAUAAUACUUCUCGCCGAAAACGAAAGGGUUGCACAACUAGAUUAAAUCUUUGCCACUGUGUUAAUGCGGCCUCUAAGGACCCUAACCAAAGUUAUGGCUGAUGAGUAAAUAGUAGAAAGUCCUAAAAUAGUUUUAAUAAAAUAAAAUUAAUGGACCAGGAAAUUAAUAUUAUUAUCUUAACUUUUUAAUAGAAUAUAUUGUAUUUUUAUUAAUAGAAGAGAUUAUUACUACCGUACCCUAAACCGACACAGGUUCGUAGGUAGGGAAUACUAAGGCGCAGAGCUAAAAGUUGUUAAGGAACUCGGCAAGAUUACCUCAUAAGUUAGACGACAAGAGGUACCACUUAUAUAUUUUAUUUUUAAUCUAUAUAAGGAGGUGGCACAAAAUCGGAGGCCCCGACUGUUUACUAAAAACACAACAGUCUGCAAUGAUGAAUAUCAUAGUAUAGAUUGUGAAAUUUGCCCGAUGCCAUUAAUAUAAGAGCGGUCAUUGAAAAAUGUGACUAAUCGAAAGUCUGGUUAAUAGCGGUCUCCUAAGGUAGCAAAAUCAGUUGGCCAUUAAAUGUGGUCCGGUAUCAAUAAUGUAACGAUGGUCUCACUGUCUCUACAACUUGCUCAGUGAAAUUGAAUUACCCGUGAAGAUGCGGGUUAUCUUCAGAGGGACGGGAAAGACCCUAUGCAGCUUCUACUGUAGUUAGUUAUCAUGUAAAUCUAGAACAGCCUUCUCUAAUAGUAAAUAGGGAUGUCGAUAGACGAAUUUUGGAAACCUUAUAGUUUAGGCUGGGUUUAUGUUUACCUUAUUUGUAUUCAAUUCGAACAAAAAGGGAGAGUUGACUAAUUGGCAGUUUGACUGGGGCGGUCGUCUUUAAUAGAGUAGCAAAGUACAUCCAAAUUUUUCAAAAAUUCACAAAAGAAGUAUUAAAGGUAUAGCUAGGCAUUGAAUGGAGAUCAAUCGACCAGUGAAGGGUUGCGCAGAGUUCAAUGGCGGAAAGCAUGCUUAACUGAAAGACCUAUAAGUCGCACAGAUACGUAAGUAGGGCAUAGUGACCCCUCGCUAUAGUAUGGAAUAGACGGGGAUCAAUAAAUAAAAGUUACGCUAGGGAUAACAGGCUGAUCACCGACGAGAGUACACAUUGUCUCGGUGGUUUGGCACCUCGAUGUCGACUCAUCCUAUCCUCCGGGGGUAGAAGCUUGGAAGGGUUCGGCUGUUCGCCGAUUAAAAGGAUACGCGAGUUGGGUUUAAUACGACGUGAGUCAGUAUGGUCCCUAUCUUCUGAAGAGAUAACUAGUAAACGGGGGCAGACCUUCUAGUACGAAAGGAUCAAUAGGCUGUGUUUCUAUAGUGUACCAAUUGUUUUUACUUUAUUACUACUUAUCUUCUAAUGAUUGUAACAAUACAAAGAUUGGAAGGAUUAAUUUUCUCUUUUAAAAAGGGGGAAUUUUUAUUUAAAAACCAAUUUUAAAUGGUGGUAAUUAGGAACGCAUAGUUGGGUAGCCACAAACAUAAUAGAUAAAUGCUGAAUGUAUAU